GACGAACGCUGGCGGCGUGCUUAACACAUGCAAGUCGAACGGAAAGGCCCUGCUUUUGUGGGGUGCUCGAGUGGCGAACGGGUGAGUAACACGUGAGUAACCUGCCCUUGACUUUGGGAUAACUUCAGGAAACUGGGGCUAAUACCGGAUAGGAGCUCCUGCUGCAUGGUGGGGGUUGGAAAGUUUCGGCGGUUGGGGAUGGACUCGCGGCUUAUCAGCUUGUUGGGGGGGUAGUGGCUUACCAAGGCUUUGACGGGUAGCCGGCCUGAGAGGGUGACCGGGCACAUGAGGCCUAAGGUACGGACCAGUCUCCUACGGGAGGCAGCGGUGGGGAAUAUUGCAGAGUGGGCGGGAGCCUGAUACAGCAACGCCGCGUGCGGAAUAACGGCUUUCGGGUGGUAAACCGCUUUCGCCUGUAACGAGGCGUGAGUGACGGUAAUGAGUAAAAAAGCACCGGCUAACUACGUG
rnacentral:rRNA from 1 species